rnacentral:rRNA from 1 species
GUCCACUGCUAUGCCACUCUAAAUGCGCCUGAUCUUGUCUGAUCUCGGAAGCUAAGCAGGGUCAGGCCUGGUUAGUCCUUGGAUGGGAGACCACCUAGGAAUAUUGGGUGCUGUAGGUG